rnacentral:rRNA from 1 species
GACGAACGCUGGCGGCGUGCUUAACACAUGCGAGUCGAACGGAAAGGCCCUGCUUUUGUGGGGUGCUCGAGUGGCGAACGGGUGAGUAACACGUGAGUAACCUGCCCUUGACUUUGGGAUAACUUCAGGAAACUGGGGCUAAUACCGGAUAGGAGCUCCUGCUGCAUGGUGGGGGUUGGAAAGUUUCGGCGGUUGGGGAUGGACUCGCGGCUUAUCAGCUUGUUGGUGGGGUAGUGGCUUACCAAGGCUUUGACGGGUAGCCGGCCGGAGGGGGUGACCGGCCAAAUGGGGAUUGGGGAACGCCCCAGGCCCCUCCGGGGGGGAGGGGGGGGGAAUAUUGCCAAAGGGGCGGAAGCCUGAUGCAGAAACGCCGCGGGGGGGAUGACGGCUUUCGGGUUGUAAACCGUUUUCCCCUGUGACGAAGCGUGGGUGCCGGUAAUGGGUAAAGAAGCACCGGCUAAUUACGG